AGAAUAAGGGGCUAAUAUUCUGGGACUGAGGGAGUAUCAAAUAUCAUUUGUCAUAUCAAAAAUUCCCCACUCAAUUCAAAACUCUUUUCAAAACUCAUUCACCAAACAAAUUUUUCACAUUUAAAUCAUAAUUCCAAAUCUCACAAACUCAAAAUACAACUCUAUUCUCAAAUCAUAUUUAGAAAAUUCUACCAAACGCAACCUUACUUAUUUAUGCAUAUAUAUAUAUUCCUGAAAGAAAGACAGAAUACAAUACAAAACUAAGUUAAUUAAUGAAGAACAUUUUCAGUUCAAACCAUUUUUAUUGUUUAAUCUCCUUACUCUUGGCUAUAUCAAAAACAAGAUAAGGAAAAUAAAUUCUAAAGAUAGGUUAAAACUGGAGUCUUUGAAUACAGUGAUGGGACUGCAAGGUGCAUAAGCAAAGAAACAAAUUCUCAGGAUGCUGGGGGUAAGUUUCGUAGUUCAAAGGGUAAGAUAGGUGGUCUACUUGCAGGGUAUUUUUAAUCUGAUAUAUAUUCUAGUUUAUGGUUACUAAUUUUAUCUUCUUUAACCACCCUUUUGGUGCUCACUUUCAUGUUAUUUGUAUGUAUGCUGUAAACAUUUGUAGCUUUUACGAUGAUUGAGAUUCCUAUCCAAUUCAGGCUGAAUUGGCUAAAAGGUGAGGUCAUUACUAAACAUCUUUUAAUGUGCAUUUUUAUCAGAUAUGUCAACAAAAUACUUCUUUGGUAGAUCAAAAUGUAUAGCAAAAGGUUCUGGGUUUUGUUGAGUUUCUUUAACAUUCAUCGCAGCUCUAUAUUUUCCGACACCCAGGUGCUAGCCUGAAGCUGCAAGGGAGGUGUGUUUUUGAAAGCAAUGCCAUAAUGAAGCUGAUAAUGACCUAUUGAAGGAAAUGUGAAAUGAAAACAGUACAGAAUAUAAGGUAGCACUUGAUGAUAACAUACCCUUGAGUUCCAACAGUUUUUUCUAUAUAAAAAAGGAGUUCCAAGAGUUUGGCUCAAUGAACUUUGGUUAAAUGGCUUAAUUUAUUUUGAUCCCAACGACUUUGUUUUCUCAGCCCUUUAUUUUAUUAAAUCAAUUGUGUGUCUCCAUCAUGAUUUCUCAAAGUCAUUUGGCUUGUAGACUUUGAUUACAUCAAUCCUUUGUAUAUUUAAUUAUUUAUUUAUUUAUUAUUUUGGCAUCUGCACAGGUAUAUACCUAUGUUGCCUUGUCUCCAUCAUGAGUCAAAGUCAUUUGGCUUGAUUACUUUGAUUACAUCAAUUCUCUAUAUAUUUAAUUUAUUUUAUUUUUGCAUCUUCACAUGUACAUACCCAUUGUGACUUCCGUCCAUGGAUAUAGAUUCAUUCUUCGUAUCUGGUUCAGCCUCUCAACCCUUCACACGUUGGUAAGAAGUCAGUCUUGUUUGGUAAGAUGGAAUUGGACAAAGAAAAGAGAGUGCUCAACCAGAACAAUGGCCAACAAAGACCAUAAUUACAUAGAUAACUGCUCCUCCCCUUCUCCGUCUUUAAGGCUUGAGGUGAACCCGUAGGGCAGCUGGAAAGAAAGACGACCUCAUCUUCUCGUAGAUGGUGUCAGUCUCUGAAGCUACAUAGUUACUUCACUUAUCCUCUUUUGGAGUUCUAUUAGAUGGCUGCAUCCUCUUCCAUGUCUCGCUGUACUUAUCAGGUGUUCUUGAGUUUCAGAGGCAAAGACACCCGCAAGACCUUUACUGAUCACCUGUAUACAGCUUUGGUGCAAGCGGGAAUUCACACCUUUAGAGAUGAUGAGGAAAUUGAGAAAGGAGAAAAUAUUGAAUUGGAACUUAAAAAAGCAAUCGAGCAAUCAAGGAUUUCAGUAAUUGUCUUGUCGAAAGACUAUGUUUCUUCAAGUUGGUGUCUUGAUGAACUUGUAAAAAUCCUUGACCGCAGGAAAAAAUUUGGGCAUGUCAUCGUGCCCAUCUUCUAUGGCAUAGAACCCUCCAAAGUUCGGAAUCAGAUAGGAAGUUUAGCAGAAGCAUUUGCAAGGCAAGAAGAUGGAUUGAAAGUGGAGAGGUGGACGCAAGCUCUUACAGAAAUUGCAGAUUUGGAUGGGAUGGUCUUACAAAAUCAUGAUGAUGGGUUUGAGUCAAAGUUUAUCCAGAAAAUUGUUAAAGAAAUCAGGAAUAAAUUGAAUCGCACAAUCUUGAGUGUUGCCCCCUAUCCAAUUGGUAUAGAUUCUCGAGUCAAGAACAUUAACUUCUGGUUACAAGAUGGCUCAACUGAUGUUGGCAUAUUUGUGAUCUAUGGGAUGGGUGGAAUAGGGAAGACAACCAUUGCCAAAGCUGUUUAUAACCUAAACUUUGACAAAUUCGAAAGUUGCAGUUUUCUUUCAAAUAUCAGAGAAACUUCAGAACAACCCAAUGGUUUGAUUCGUUUACAAAAAAAACUUCUUUCAGAUAUCUUGAAGGGGAAAAAGGAAAAGAUAUACAAUGUUGAUAAAGGAAUCACUAGGAUUAAAGAUGCUGUAUGUUCUAAAAGAGUUCUUAUUAUUCUUGAUGAUGUGGAUGAGUUGCGCCAGUUAAAUGCGGUGCUUGUAAUGCGAGAUUGGUUUUAUUCAGGAAGUAAAAUUAUCAUUACAACUAGAAACGAGCAACUGCUAAAGGCCCAUGAAGUUUGUGAAUUGCAUAAGGUUAAGGAAUUGGAUGACAACGAAUCACUUCAGCUCUUUAGUUGGCAUGCCUUUGAACAAGACCAUCCUCUUGAAGCUUAUGUGGAGCACUCCAAACGUGUAAUAGAACAUUGUGGAGGGCUUCCCUUAGCUCUUCAAGUUUUGGGUUGUUCUCUAUCUAGAAAAUAUGUUAACGUAUGGGAAAGUGCGUUACAGAAAUUGAAAGCAAUUCCUGACAAUCAAAUUCUUAAAAAACUUAGGAUAAGUUAUGAUUCUUUGGAAGAUGAUCAUGACAAGGAUUUAUUCCUUGAUAUUGCUUGCUUCUUCAUUGGAAAGGACAGAAAUUACAUGCUUACUAUAUUAAAGGGAUGUGAUUUCUAUACGGGUGUUGGAAUUCAAAACCUAAUUAACAAAUGUCUCAUAACCAUUGAUAAUCGCAACAAACUGAUGAUGCAUCAAUUGCUUCGGGACAUGGGAAGAGAAGUUAUUCGCCAAGAAUCAUCCGAGGAACCUGGAGAACGUAGCAGACUGUGGGAUCAUAAGGAUUCAUUUAAUGUAUUGAAUGAAAAAACUGGUACAGGAACAGUUGAAGGCCUUGUCCUUAACAUGCAUAUGUUAAAGCACGACAACUCAUCCAAGACAACCUUUAGCAUUAAUAACAGGAAACGACACCAUGUCCAAGAAUAUUCAGAUAAUACCAUGCUGUCAGCCCAAGGCAAUUCAUUAAAACGACGCUGUUUGGGCUUCCUCUCUUGGUUGCCGACAAACACUGGCUUAUUUCCUGUGACAAGUGAGAUUGACUUGAAAACUAAUGCAUUUGUAGAGAUGCAGAAUCUAAGAUUGCUCCUGCUCAGUUAUGUACAACUCACUGGAAGCUAUAAAGAAUUUCCUAAGAAGUUAAAAUGGUUGUGUUGGCAUGGAUUCCCUUUAAAAUCCAUACCAAUCAAUUUCCCUCUGGAGUGCAUUGUUGCUUUGGAAAUGCGCAAUAGUAGCUUGGAACAAGUUUGGAAGGGAACCAAGUCUCUGGAAUUAUUGAAAAUCCUUGAUCUCAGCCAUUCCCAUUGCCUUACCAAAACACCUGACUUCUCUGGAUUCCCUAGUCUUGAGAGGUUGAUUCUUAAGGGUUGCAUAAGGUUGGUUGGGGUUCAUGAAUCCAUUGGAGACCUAGAGGGACUUGUUUUUUUAAAUCUGAGAGGCUGCAAAAAUCUUAGGGAGCUUCCUGUACGAAUUUGUAUGCUUAAGUCUCUCGAAGAACUUAUUCUCUCAGAUUGCUCAAAACUUGACAAGUUGCCAGAGGAGCUAUGGAGAAUGGAGUCUUUGAAGGUGCUUAAUGCAGAUGGAACUGCAAUUAAUCAACUAUCAUGUACUACUAGAAGGGUUAAUUUAUGGGUUUCGUUCUUCUGGUCUCGUGUAUCAAAACCAAGAAUUUCAGAAUUGUCAUUGGCUUCUUUACCACGCUUUUUGGUUAUCUUAAGUCUCAUGGAUUGUAAUCUAUCAGAUGAUGCUCUUCCAAGGGAUCUUAGUAACCUGCACUCAUUGCAGAAGCUAUACCUAGGUGGAAAUACAUUUCAUAGCCUACCAGAGAGUGUUAAAUUUCUCACUACUCUUCAGUCCCUUCAUUUAGAUUUGUGCAGAAGCCUUCGGUCUCUUCCAGAGCUUCCAUCAAGUCUGAGGAGGUUGAAUGCAGAAAAUUGCGCAUCAUUGGAAAGAAUAACAAAUCUACCUAACUGGUUGAGAUCACUAAACUUAGACUUAUGUGAUUGCACUGAACUAGUUGAGAUUCAGGGGAUGUUCCGGUUAGAACCCAUUACAAAAGUUGAUGCAAAAAUGAUAAACAAUUUGGGCUUGGUCAAUUUGGAUACCAUGGGAAAUAUUGAGUUGGACUUGUACAAUAACCUGACACAAUCAGGAAAGAAAGGUCCUAUCCAGGGAUUCUAUGAAUUUGGUAUAUUUAGCACUCUUCUUUCAGCAAGUGAGGUUCCAAGUUGGUUCAGCAAUAAGAGUAAGGGGUCUUCAAUAUCUUUUACUGUGCCUUCACUUGAUCUUAAGAUUGGGGGGUUGAAUUUUUGCGUUGUUUAUACACUUCCUGACUAUGACGGAGGUUGGGCUUUUGAUGAAAACUAUCUUGGAAUCAGUAAUGAAACCAAAGGUCUGAAUUGGACCUAUGCUCCAAUGUUCUUUGGCAUGCCAGAAGUCAACAAACACAUGAUAUGGUUGAGCCAUUGGAAGUUUGGAAAUCAGUUGGAAGGUGGCGAUCAAGUGAAUGUUUCGUUUGAUAUGAAUGCUUAUUUCCAAGUAAAGGAGUGUGGGGUCCACCUUGUGUACGAUCAAGAAGAAAAGGUCAUCACCGAAUCAAGCGUUGAGGAAGUAGUCCAAAUCUGUACCUAUCCCUGUUAUCAGAAUGUCAUUGAUGGAGAUUUGUCAGCAUAUCGGACAAGUGGGGGCUUAUUCCUUCUAUGCCACUAUGAUUGCAUGAUGCGUCGACGAUGCUCAAUUGAUGGAUGGGAUAUAACUGAAUACGAGACUACAGAUGAAGAAGUAGAAGAAGAUGAUGAUGAAGAAUAGCAUAGGGUGAACUGAUGGUGGUUGUGGCAUGAAAAUUAACAUUCUCAGAUCAAAUUAAUUCGUCUCAAAUCCAUUAUAAUCAAAAUGUUGUUACUGAUAAAGCAUUAUUCUUGUGGUAAUGUGUUUUUUAUGCAGUUUAUGGGGUUAUUUGGUUGGAGUGUAAUGCUAGGAUCUUUGAGGAUUUGUAUGAAGAGGCAUCAAAAAAGGUUUAAGGAUGGCUGGGAUGCCUCUGCCAGAGUAUCGGUAAAUUCAGUCUAGGAACUAAAAGGCUUGCUUGGUUUCAUGUCAUUUCAGCCCUAAAAUAAUCUUCUCAAAAUCUUCUGAUGUGCUCUCUGCUUGGUCAAGGGUCCUCUAAAGUGAAUCCAUAACCCAGCAUUUAUGGUGUUUCAAGGGCCAAUAAACUAUACAAUGUAGUGCCAUUUCAGAUUUUUAAAUCAAUCCCAAAGGUGAAAAUCAUAUGAACUGUCAUCCUCAAGGCAUUUUGUUGUCGGUGAAAGAAGUGCAUAAUUCUAGUGUGCGAUCAACAAGAGAACUAUACGAAGUCAAAAUACCGAUGAGAUGAUCUAGCAUCUUUGCAUUUUUUUGGUUGAAGAAAUAUGGCUUUGCUCUUCUGAGCUUGCUUUA